GUGGGGAAUAUUGCGCAAUGGGGGAAACCCUGACGCAGCGACGCCGCGUGAGCGAAGAAGGCCUUAGGGUUGUAAAGCUCUGUUUUAAGGGACGAAUGUCGUGGGGAGUAAUAUGCUCUGCGAAUGACGGUACCUUAAGAGGAAGCCCCGGCUAACUACGUGCCAGCAGCCGCGGUAAGACGUAGGGGGCGAGCGUUGUCCGGAAUUACUGGGCGUAAAGAGCACGUAGGCGGGAACUUAAGUCAGGUGUGAAAGACCGGGGCUCAACUCCGGGGUUGCACUUGAAACUGGGUUUCUUGAGGGCAGGAGAGGAAAGCAGAAUUCCUGGUGUAGCGGUGAAAUGCGUAGAAAUCAGGAGGAAUACCAGUGGCGAAGGCGGCUUUCUGGACUGACCCUGACGCUGAGGUGCGAAAGCGUGGGUAGCAAACAGGAUUAGAUACCCGGGUAGUCC
rnacentral:rRNA from 1 species